UACGGAGGGGGCUAGCGUUAUUCGGAAUUACUGGGCGUAAAGCGCACGUAGGCGGCUUUGUAAGUUAGAGGUGAAAGCCUGGAGCUCAACUCCAGAACUGCCUUUAAGACUGCAUCGCUUGAAUCCAGGAGAGGUGAGUGGAAUUCCGAGUGUAGAGGUGAAAUUCGUAGAUAUUCGGAAGAACACCAGUGGCGAAGGCGGCUCACUGGACUGGUAUUGACGCUGAGGUGCGAAAGCGUGGGGAGCAAACAGG
rnacentral:rRNA from 1 species